rnacentral:rRNA from 1 species
AUUGAAAGCUUGCUGGAUAUGUACGGAUAGUGGCGGACGGGUGAGUAACGCGUGAAUACCUGGCCAUCGGAGGGGGACAACGGCUGGAAACGGUCGCUAAUACCGCGUAAGCCGUAAGGUGAAAGGCCACGGGAGUGGCUGCCGAUGGAUGGGUUCGCGUCCUAUCAGCUGGUUGGUGGGGUAAGGGCCUACCAAGGCUAAGACGGGUAGCCGGUCUGAGAGGGUGAUCGGCCACACUGGAACUGAGAUACGGUCCAGACUCCUACGGGAGGCAGCAGUGGGGAAUAUUGGGCAAUGGGGGCAACCCUGACCCAGCGACGCCGCGUGGGGGAAGACGGCCUUCGGGUUGUAAACCUCUUUUGUACGGGAAGAAGGAAGUGACGGUACUGUACGAAUAAGUCCCGGCUAACUACGUGCCAGCAGCCGCGGUAAUACGUAGGGGACGAGCGUUGUCCGGAAUUACUGGGCGUAAAGGGCGCGCAGGCUGUGCUGCAAGUCAGCUGUUAAAUGUCUGGGCUUAACCCGGGCAUGCGGUUGAGACUGCGGUGCUGGAGUGCUGUAGAGGCAAGUGGAAUUCCCAGUGUAGCGGUGAAAUGCGUAGAUAUUGGGAAGAACACCGGUGGCGAAGGCGACUUGCUGGGCAGCAACUGACGCUGAGGCACGAAAGCCAGGGGAGCAAACGGGAUUAGAUACCCCGGUAGUCCUGGCCGUAAACGAUGAAUGCUAGGUGUGUGUGUAGAGAUACAUGCGUGCCAGAGUUAACGCGAUAAGCAUUCCGCCUGGGGAGUACGGUCGCAAGAUUGAAACUCAAAGGAAUUGACGGGGGCCCGCACAAGCGGUGGAGCACGUGGUUUAAUUCGAUGCAAA